UACGUAGGGCGCAAGCGUUGUCCGGAAUUAUUGGGCGUAAAGAGCUCGUAGGCGGUCUGUUGCGUCCGCUGUGAAAACCCGGGGCUUAACCCCUGGCUUGCAGUGGAUACGGACAGACUAGAGGUAGGUAGGGGAGAAUGGAAUUCCCGGUGUAGCGGUGAAAUGCGCAGAUAUCGGGAGGAACACCGGUGGCGAAGGCGGGUCUCUGGGCCGAUACUGACGCUGAGGAGCGAAAGCGUGGGGAGCGAACAGG
rnacentral:rRNA from 1 species